rnacentral:rRNA from 1 species
AGCGAACGCUGGCGGCAGGCCUAAUACAUGCAAGUCGAACGGAUCCUUCGGGAUUAGUGGCGGACGGGUGAGUAACACGUGGGAACGUGCCCUUUGGUUCGGAACAACUCAGGGAAACUUGAGCUAAUACCGGAUGUGCCCUUCGGGGGAAAGAUUUAUCGCCAUUGGAGCGGCCCGCGUCUGAUUAGCUAGUUGGUGAGGUAACGGCCCACCAAGGCGACGAUCAGUAGCUGGUCUGAGAGGAUGAUCAGCCACACUGGGACUGAGACACGGCCCAGACUCCUACGGGAGGCAGCAGUGGGGAAUCUUGCGCAAUGGGCGAAAGCCUGACGCAGCCAUGCCGCGUGAAUGAUGAAGGUCUUAGGAUUGUAAAAUUCUUUCAGCGGGGACGAUAAUGACGGUACCCGCAGAAGAAGCUCCGGCUAACUUCGUG